UACGGAGGGGGCUAGCGUUGUUCGGAAUUACUGGGCGUAAAGCGCGCGUAGGCGGCUUUGUAAGUUAGAGGUGAAAGCCCGGAGCUCAACUCCGGAACUGCCUUUAAGACUGCAUCGCUAGAAUUGUGGAGAGGUGAGUGGAAUUCCGAGUGUAGAGGUGAAAUUCGUAGAUAUUCGCAAGAACACCAGUGGCGAAGGCGGCUCACUGGCCCGAUACUGACGCUGAGGUGACGAAGCGGGUGGGAG
rnacentral:rRNA from 1 species